GACGAACGCUGGCGGCGUGCUUAACACAUGCAAGUCGCACGGAGUGGCGAACGGGUGAGUAACACGUGGGUGACCUGCCCUGCACUUCGGGAUAAGCAUGGGAAACUGGGUCUAAUACCGGAUAGUGUGGGAUGGGCCCGCGGCCGCUCAGCUUGUUGGUGGGGUAAUGGCCUACGAAGGCGGCGACGGGUAGCCGGCCUAAGAGGGUGGACGGCCACAGUGGGACAGAGACACGGACCAGACCCCUCCGGGAGGCAGCAGUGGGGAAUAUUGCGCAAUGGGCGGAAGCCUGAUGCAGCGACGCAGCGUGGGGGAUGACGGCCUUCGGGUUGCAAACUCCUUUCACCAUCGGCGCGGUAGAUGGAGAAGAAGCACCGGCUAACUACGUGCCAGCAGCCGCGGUAAUUC
rnacentral:rRNA from 1 species